AGAUGAUUAAAUUUGUUAACAAAAAGUCUUACCUUACUUACAGGAUAUAACAGAAUGGAGGCAGAUUGAUAGCAAAUAAAACAAAACGAGACCGAGAGGUGAAAGAGGACCAAAAGAGACCCCUACAAAAUACGAAAGACUUGAUUGUGGACACCUAGGAGCAAUGUGAGUAGCUUGAUGGAUCCGGAGUCAACCAACACCAUCAGGGAGAGUUUGGAAAUAAGCAGAGCAUAGCCAAUGUCUGCUCACCUCUUUCUGAUGAAGAUGUCAAUUAUCUGCUGAACAGCUCCUGUCCCCAGUAUGCCCUGUGACAUUUGAAACUCAUCAAACUAUUCCUUAUGAGAAAGAAACUCACUUAGCCAUGCCUUGAUCUUUUGAAAGAAGUCAUUUUAUUUGAGAAUAAAGGUAGGCUUUAAAAAAUAUGUAUUAGCUGAGGUCUAAUUACCACCUAAGC
rnacentral:lncRNA from 1 species